UGAGCACCCCCUCCUCACACUGCUGUUGCUCCCCAUUACUGUGUCUCAGCAGCUCCACCCCCUAGGAAGUGGCUCCCUGAGACCUUCCCCAACUCUCCUCCAAAGAAGGAGCCAUUUGUCAUCUCCAUGUCCUUGUCCCAGUGGGAAGAGACCAGGACACGGCCAGGUCUGCUAGAUCGUGUUGUGUUUGGGUCCAGCUUGAAGAAAGCUGAAAGCCAGGCCUGCGAGGGGAAGGUCAUCCAUCUGACUGAGCCUGACAGCCCGGAUCUCACUCCCAGCAGGAGAGCAGCCGGGCCACCUCUCAAGUCAACAAGAGGCUUGGGGUGGCCUCAGGCUUCCUGUGCCCACUUGAGAUGGGUGGAGCGGGAUAGAAAACAAACUAAGGAGGUUUGGAGCCAAACUGCCUGCCUUAGAGUCCUAGCCCUCUCUUCCUGGCUACGUGAUCCUGAGAAGGCGGCAUUACCUUUCUGUGCUCAGUUUCCUCAUCUGUGAAAUGGGGAAAUGAUAGAACCCACCGUCGGGAAUGUUCUAAGUGCUAAGACGCAGGCAGUGGCUCGAACAGUACCCUGCGCAGAGUACUACUACUGUUAUUAUAGUCAUUGUUGUUGAUCUCUAAAGUGAGGCAAUCACAAGAUGGGAAUAGCUUUCCAAGGUCAGUGCUCACAAACUGGUUGGAUUCAGAAGUCAGUUCAUUGGGAGCACCGAGGGAAGGAUCCAUCUUUUCUACAGUGACAAGAUCAAAGAGAUUUCAGUUCAGGCCCUGGAUUUGUCACUGGCUACCUCUGCGAUCUUGAGCAGAUUUCUUUCCCUCCCUGAGCUUCAGGAUCUGAAUGGUGCAGCCGAUGCGUUCAGUGUCAUCACCCCCAGGUAAACUGGUGAGCCCCCUGCCCCCAUGGCUUUUACUUUGGCCGUGCGUUCUCUUGAAAAUGCCCAUUACAGCGCUCCUGAAGGCGAGAGGACAGUGUUAUGGGAAGAAGUGAAUUUCAGCGUCUCUAAGCUAAAGGAAAUGAGUGUGAAGGUGAUUUAGGACGACUUGAACCAAUUUCUGUUCUCUAUUUUUUCAUUUUAUUCACACACAAGUGAUGAAUGAUUAAAUCUGAAGUUGAAUAAACUCUUUCUCAAAACAUGAAAUUGCAAUUCUAAGUGAUCGGGAGGCUUCCAGUCGUAGUGUGUCCCGUGGCCCUUUCCAUUCUUGGUGGUAUUACAGUUCAUGGUGAGUCUGAUGAUUGGCAUUGCCUGAGACUUGAUGGCUUUGAUCUGUUUUCUGCCUCCUGAACCUGGCCCUGUGCUUGACACUUUACAUAUUCUUUCACUCCUUUGUUCCUCUCCCCAAGUCCACACAGAAGGGAUCAUCCCCGUUUUCCAGAUGCAGCAGGGCUCACAGGAGGGACGUGACCAGCACAAGGUGACAGGGCCAAAACUUGAGCCGGGUUUGAAUGCCCUGCACCUCAUCCCAUCCUGCAGCGGAGGUGAGAGGCGUGGAAAGCUGUCUGUGUGCUUUGUGCAACAGUACCUCCCAGGAGUCCCCGUGUAGGACAGGAUUCAGGGUCAAGGCCAAGACCACCAAGACUCUGGAGUCUGGAGUCAUCACUUAUCGGGUGGCAUUUCUUGGGUGCCUAGGAAACAGGUGGGCAGCAGAAGCAGCACUGAGAUGGGCGCCGAGAGAGAGGAUCCUCAUCCUUUGAUGGACUUCACCGGCUAUGUGACCGUGGGCAAAUCGCCUCUCUGAGCCCCCUGCACAUCUGUAAAGUGGGUGGGUCACAGCGGGAGCUUGGUAGGGUCCCUUCCAGUUGUAACCAGUCUGUGUUUUACACAGAGCAGCAACUGGCCUUCAAACUUGGGGUCAGUGUAGGAUGGAUGGAAAACAGAGACCCACACUUCUAACAAAGCUAGUACCCUGGAUCUCGAGAUGGUUAAGACUCUGCUCCUCUCCUGGGUGGUGGACGUGGUGGCUGGCAAUGUUGGUAUGAGAGCGAUUCUGCUGUGGGCAGCCUGGGCCCCGGAAAGCCUGGUGUAGCUGCACUUGAGCCGCAUGGUGAAGCAGCCCCCUGUGCUGGUCACGAGCAGGAUGGGAGGUAUGUGAGGGCCGAUGGGAGACUGAGGGCCUCCACCUGCCCUCACCUUCGCUGGCUGGCUGUCUUAAUCACUUCCUGAGCAUGCUGUGGGGUCCUGGGAAGAGGGACCUCACUCCCCUUGGGCCCUCUAGGUUGAGCAGAGCAGGAAGGAGGUCUUGAGUGUUGCAAGCGGCAUGAGACAGUGAUAACCAGUGACACACAUGGCCGUCAGAGGCGCCCGUUGUGCCAGGCUGUGCUGGGUGCAGAUGUUCUUUCUCUCUCUCUCUUCACCAUAGCAAUAGUGAUGAUGACCCGGGGACCUGAGGGCUUUGAGAGGAGGGCACAGUGCCGGGCUCUGACAGGCGGCAUUGUGUUUGAUGUAGAUGUGGCACCUACGGCAGGAAGACAGGCAAAGACUGGGGCUUGUCCCCUUGGAGGACAUGGGUUCAUAUUUUGGCUUUGCUUUUUUAUGGUCACUUUAGAAAGUCAAUUGAACUCAGUCAAACCUCAGUUUCUCCAUCUGUAAGGUGAUGGCCAUGAUGUCCUAGGGAGGGGAUGGUGAACUUACAGCUUGGGUGCCACAGCAGGCUGUUUGUAUCGCUGGAAGCUCUAAACGGUUCGCCAUCUCCGCCCUAAGGUGUUAAAGGAUUGAGCAAUGCACUGGAUAUGCCUGGCUCCACCUGGCGCACUCAGCAAGUCUCCCAUCAACACUGCCAGUUGUUUUAAAAAUGACUUCUGUGAUCCGUGAAGUCCGGCGUUGUAUCUCCGUCAUAGAGAGAUGAGAGAGCAGAGUCCAGCGAGGUCAAAAGACUGGUCCACAGGCACACAGUGAGUAGGUAGCCACCAGGCCUCA
rnacentral:lncRNA from 1 species